UGUGUUUGGCGUCGUCUUCUGGUCGGGUGUCCCGUCUACGUUUUGCGCUGUUAACACCAGGAUGGAAAACCAGCAAGCCCAAGCUGCUAUUCUAGAGAAUUCUUGUCGCGACAGCGCCUUUCACGGCGCGCGUUUCUAAGCGCGCCGCCUUGUGCGCGCUUAUUUCCGCAGGGAGAGACGGAAAAACAAGGAGAGCAAAGGCAAGGAGGUCAACCAGACGAGUCUUCCACUCCGUGAAGAUGGCCGAAGAGCGAAGCUGUGUUAGUUACACCGAGUGUUACACCAUGCAAGUCAAACUUCACAAGCAGUAUAUAUGGUUUUCUUCCCCUUACUCGAUGUGGCCGGCAAGUAGCUGCCAAAUAAACAGCGGGAUUUUAGCGAAGGAGCAAAAUAAAGAUGCAUCAUCAUCAUCAUGAUCAUCAUAAUCAUCACCAUCAUCAUCAUCAUCAUCCUAUUUUUUGUCAUCAUCCUAGUCUUCUGCCGUCCUCUACUGGGCUUCCCUUCUCUUGGUACCCAUUCGAUCACCCUAAUGGUCCAACGGUUAUCUAAUCUGCGCAUUACAUUACCUGCCCGCGUCAUUUCUUUUCUCUUAAUGUCUAUUAGAAUAUCGUCUAUACCCGUUUGCUCUCUGAACCAAACUGCACUCUUUCUGUCUGUUAGAGGUGCUGUAUAAAGACAACAAUAAAUAGCGAUUUUCUGCAAGGAGGCGGAGA